GUUUACACGGCGAGACCGCGGACGGCUCAUUAAAUCAGUCGUGGUCCAUAUGGGCUAGAGUUAAUCCUACUUGGAUAACUGUGGUAAUUCCAGAGCUAAUACAUGCAACUCUUAUCCUGACGUAGCGCGGCUUAUCUCUUUCUCGCUCUCUCACGAGUGUGUGUUUUGGGUUUGUCGUAGCGCUGACGGAUGCUUUUAUUAGACCAAACCGCUGGGUGCGUGUUCGUGUUUAUUCACGGAUGCGUACGGCUCGUUUAAUGGUGACUCUGGAUAACCUUAUUGACAAGCGCACGUACUCCUCGUGGGACGGCGCUGCCACUUUCGAGUGUCUGCCUUAUCAGCUAUCAACCGUUCGUUAUGUGCGCACGAUGGCUUUGACGGGUAACGGGGAAUCAGAGUUCGAUUCCGGAGAGGCAGCCUGAGAGACGGCUACCACGUCCAAGGACGGCAGCAGGCACGCAAAUUACCCAAUCCCAGCACCUGGGGGAGGUAGUGACGAAAUCUAACGAUGCGGGCGCCCUUUCUGGGGCCCCGCAAUCGGAAUGGCCACUUUCUAAACAACCUGUUGAGAACCUACUGAAGGGCAAGUCUGGUGCCAGCAGCCGCGGUAAUUCCAGCUUCAGUAGCAUCUAUUAAAGUUGCUGCGGUUAAAAGGCUCGCAGUUGAAUGUCAGUAUCGAGCGCAGGUCAGGUGGACGCUGGGGCGUGAACAUUCAAGGCGCUUCGCUUGUGUUGAUUGUUGAGUGCAUGCACGCGCAUUCGUACGAAAGUGCGUUUGUGUGUUUGUGUGUAUUUCGCUUUUGGCUUUGAGUUGUGUCGUUCACAUGCCCCCGUCCGUAACAAGCCUCCUCGCUUGUGUACAUAACGGAAUCUGUAUUACGGAGUGUGCGUUGCGAAGAGUUGUAGCACUUCGUUCUCUUGCGCUUUCUCGCUUUCUCUCGCGUGCGUGUAUCUCGCUUGCGAGUGCGCGUGCCUUGGCUUGUGGGGCUGUGUGAGUAGGAGCGUAUGUUGUCUCUCUCUUUUGCGCGUACAUCAAGCUCCUUCGGUUCUAUAGUCACCCUGAGUAAAUCAGAGUGCUCAGAGCAGUCGUAGGGGCCUUGUGCCCUUUGAACAGUCUAGCGGACUGACUUGGUUUUGCAUGGUAUGUCGAAAGACGACGUCUAGCGCUGGCUCAGAGUGUUUGUUUACGUCAGUGGUACAAGCCAGCCUAGACGUAAUGAUUAAAAGGGACAGUCGAGGGCACUGGUAUUGCGAGGCGAGAGGUGAAAUUCUAUGACCCCCGCAAGACCUCCUGAAGCGAAAGCGUCUGCCAAGGAUGUUUUCAUUAAUCAUGAACGAAAGUUAGAGGAUCGAAGGCGAUCAGAUACCGCCCUAGUUCUAACCCUAAACGAUGCCAACCACCAAUCCGCGUGUAGCACCUUUCUUAACGGGCUCGGCGGGCAGCUCCUUACUUACGGGAAACCAGAGUCUCUGGGUUCCGGGGGGAGUCUGGUUGCAAAGCUGAAACUUAAAGGAAUUGACGGAAAGGCACCACCAGGCGUGGAGCCUGCGGCUUAAUUUGACUCAACACGGGCCAUCUCACCAGGCCAGCACUCUUGUACGAUUGACAGAUUGAGAGCUCUUUCUCGAUUUAGUGGAUGGUGGUGCAUGGCCGUUCUUAGUUGGUGGAGUGAUCUGUCUGGUUAAUUCCGAUAACGAACGAGACUCUCCCCUGCUAACUAGUCGGUUGGAUCUUGAUCUUAUAUUACAUAUGUAUCGCUGUGAGUCGUGUGCCGAGUAAACCUGGCGUUGCCUGGGAGGAGGAGUCGUCGGAGCGCUGAUGUGCUUGUGCGUGUGUUGCUCUCGUGUUUGACUGUAGCCUCGUGUUGCGGUUGCGUGCGGGGGUGCGCGCGUGCUUGUGUGUUGGUGUUUCUUCUUCUUUUUCUUUCGGUGCGUCGGGCCUUGGACUGCACACUCCAAGUCCGCCGCUUAUGCUUAAAACUCUUCUUAGAGGGAUUCACGGUUCUGAAGCCGUAAGAGACUGAGAGCAAUAACAGGUCUGUGAUGCCCUUAGAUGUUCUGGGCCGCACGCGCGCUACAAUGCCGGGCACAGCAGGUAGUUUUCCUACUCCGACAGGAGCGGGUAACCCUGUGAAAGCCCUAUGUCUUACAGUUUAACGGGUGUCGAGUUCGUCUCGAUGCUCUUCUGGCGUGAUUGGGCCUGGGUCUUGCAAUUUUUUCCCACUAACGAGGAAUGCCUUGUAGCGGCGGGUCACUGAGCCCGCCGUGACUCAGUCCCUGCCCUUUGUACACACCGCCCGUCGCUACUACCGAUUGGGUGUACCAGUGAGAGCCUUGGACUGGCGUCCGCUGUUUCCUUUACUGUGUAAACAAGC
rnacentral:rRNA from 1 species